GUGUCAGCCGCCGCGGUAAUACGGGGGGUGCAAGCGUUGUUCGGAAUUAUUGGGCGUAAAGAGCGUGUAGGCGGCUUGAUAAGUCAGAUGUGAAAGCCCUGGGCUUAACCCGGGAAGUGCAUUUGAAACUGUCUUGCUUGAGUAAGGGAGAGGGAAGUGGAAUUCCUGGUGUAGAGGUGAAAUUCGUAGAUAUCAGGAGGAACACCGGUGGCGAAGGCGACUUUCUGGCCCUAUACUGACGCUGAGACGCGAGAGCGUGGGGAGCAAACAGGAUUAGAUACCCUGGUAGUCCACGCCGUAAACGAUGUUCACUAGGUGUUGGGGGUAUUGACCCCCUCAGUGCCGGAGCUAACGCAUUAAGUGAACCGCCUGGGGAGUACGGUCGCAAGACUAAAACUCAAAUGAAUUGACGGGG
rnacentral:rRNA from 1 species